UCGCCCACCUCCUCCAGUGACAUCAUUUUUAGUUUUAAUCGUUCAACUGAGAUACAGUCACCAGAGGUCUGGUGAGGAGCCAACAGAUUUCCCAUUACCAGCUUAGCUACAGCUACAAGUAGCUGGCUUUCCCACCUCUGUACCAGGAACAGCCCGAGGACAAGACCAUCCCUCUGUGGCCUGAGCUUUGGUUGAUGGCAAUGUGAGCGUGUCCAGAAACAGAUCUGCACUGCCUGGGAAUAAGAUGAUCUCUAAGAAUUUUUUUAAUUGCCGUGGAUGAAGAGGGACGAGCAACAGGCAGCCCGGCCACCUCACUUCUUCCCAAGGUGGCAUCUGAUUCCAAGAUGCUUUACAGGCGCGAACCCGAACAUGUGGGCCGCUCAACACCAGUGAACCUGUUCACAUCACUCCAUUUCCUCCAGAGCUGCCAAGACUGUAUCAGCCAGAAGCCCAGAGGAUGCUGGGACUUUUCUAUGCUACAGCUGUCCUCACACCGAUCCUUGCAAUUACUAAGUUGCUUCUGAUGUCUGCCACGGGUGAGG